GAUGAAGAACGUAGCGAAAUGCGAUAAAUAAUGUGAAUUGCAGAAUUCAGUGAACCAUCGAAUCUUUGAACGCACAUUGCGCCCGGCAGUAAUCUGCCGGGCAUGCCUGUCCGAGCGUCAUUUCUGCCCUCGAGCGAGUCCAGCAUCUAGGUGCUGGGCCCGCCCGGUGUUGGGGCACUACGGGAAGCCCUGUGCUGUCCCCCGUAGGCCCCGAAAUGAAGUGGCGGUCCUGCCGCGGCGCCCCCUGCGUAGUAUAACAGCUCGCUUCGGGACCCGGUGGAGGCCUGCCGUCAAACCUUACUCUCUAAGUUUGACCUCGGAUCAGGUAGGGUUACCCGCUGAACUUAAGCAUAUCAAUAAGCGGAGGA
rnacentral:misc_RNA from 1 species